rnacentral:lncRNA from 1 species
UGAAUAUUGCAUCGUAUUUGACUGUGAACCACUCUCCUCUGCCAUCACAGCCAGGGAAGCAGCACUGGCUUUUCGGUGGGACUUGCCUGGUGAAGGGGGCCUGUGUCUGUCAGCGUGCUGAGGCCGAGUACUGAGUACCUGGUACUGAGACCRCUGGACGCCCUGUCGGCUCCAGCUGCCCACUGCCGAGCAUAACGGUGCGCCUCGAUGGACUUGAGCUCUGGGCAAACGGUGGCUUGAUGACACAGUCCACAGGACGCUACAUUAAUGGGGUAGCCUGGAAAAGGAUGCCAAAUUUUGGUGGAAAUGCCCUCUGUACCUCAAAAUGAAAGAAGGUUUUUUAUUCAGAAAUGUUGCACARUGCUGUGGAGCCCAUGCUGAGCAAGCCGGACACCGAUGGGGAACAGCUGCCUUAGUGAGCACAUGCUGCGUAGCUCACCCCCAGCACCCRAAACACGAUGGGUUGGACAUUACUGCAGCUGCAUGGGCUCUCCUUCCAGUGCCAAAGAACUGCAUUCUGCUCCAAAUACUUCUGGA